UACGGAGGGGGCUAGCGUUGUUCGGAAUUACUGGGCGUAAAGCGCGCGUAGGCGGACCUGCAAGUUGGGGGUGAAAGCCCGGGGCUCAACCUCGGAAUUGCCUUCAAAACUGAUAACCUGGAGUAUGGAAGAGGUAAGUGGAACUCCGAGUGUAGAGGUGAAAUUCGUAGAUAUUCGGAAGAACACCAGUGGCGAAGGCGACUUACUGGUCCAUUACUGACGCUGAGGCUCGAAAGCGUGGGGAGCAAACAGG
rnacentral:rRNA from 1 species